GCUGUCGGGGAGCCGGCGGUGGGGCUGGACGCAGGUGCAACUGACAUGGGUGAACCCCGGGGGUCCAUGCGGAUUCUAGUGACAGGGGGCUCUGGACUGGUAGGCAAAGCCAUCCAGAAGGUGGUAGCAGAUGGAGCUGGACUUCCUGGAGAGGACUGGGUGUUUGUUUCCUCUAAAGAUGCCGAUCUCACGGAUGCAGCACAGACCCGCGCCCUGUUUGAGAAGGUCCGACCCACACACGUCAUCCAUCUUGCUGCAAUGGUGGGGGGCCUGUUCCGGAAUAUCAAAUACAAUUUGGACUUCUGGAGGAAAAAUGUGCACAUCAACGACAACGUCCUGCACUCAGCCUUCGAGGUGGGCGCCCGCAAGGUGGUGUCCUGCCUGUCCACCUGUAUCUUCCCUGACAAGACGACCUACCCCAUAGAUGAGACCAUGGUGAGGGGCAGGGCCUGGCUGUGGGCGGGGCCGGGGAGCCUGUGGGCAGGGCCAGGAAGUAGCGGCCUCUGCCUCUCCUGCCCUGCAGAUCCACAAUGGGCCGCCCCACAGCAGCAAUUUUGGGUACUCGUAUGCCAAG
rnacentral:sRNA from 1 species